rnacentral:tRNA from 1 species
GUCCAGGGAUGUGAAUCGAACCCACUGUGUUCCGCUUACCGGGCAGAUGCCAUGUCCACUAGGCUACCCUGGA